rnacentral:rRNA from 1 species
GACGAACGCUGGCGGCGCGCUUAGCACAUGCAAGUCGAACUGACAGUCCCUGCUUUUGUGGUGUGCUCGAGUGGCGAACGGGUCCGUAACACGUGAGUAACCCGCCCUAGACUAUGUGAUAACUUCAGCAACCUGGUGCUGAUUCCGGAUAGCAGCUUCCGCUGCAUGGUGGGGGUUGGAAAGUUUCCGCGGAUGGGGUUGGACUCGCCGGUUUUCAGCUUCUGGGUGGGGUAGUGGCAUACCAAGGCUUCUACGAGUAGCCGGCCUGAGAGGGUGACGUGCCACAUGGGGACUGAGGUACGGCCCAGACUGCUACGGGGGCUAGAAGUGGGGAAUACUGAACUAUGGGCGGAAAACUGAUUGAGGAACGCCGCGUGGAGGAUGACGACCUUCGGGUCGUAACCCGCUUUCGCCUGUGACGAAGCCUUGCUGACGGUAAUGGGGCAAGAAGCACGCACUAACUACGUG